rnacentral:lncRNA from 1 species
GAGGAGAUGAGGCAGCUCUGGUCGCCGCUGGCUUCCCAGUUGCUGGCUUGCAUGGCUCCCGGCUGAUCCGACCUCCAGAAUGGUGAGCUCCAUUUCUCUCGCACGAUUUGACAAGCUUGCUCAUCGAAGUGGCUCUCGUGACAGGGCGCCGCUGGAGGCAAGACUUUGAUGAGCCUUCCAUCGAUGGAGGAGUUGAAGGUGUUCCAGGCGCUGGGAUCUGGCCAGCAGGAUUGAAAUGCGGUGCAUAAACAGGAUGGAUGAUCGUUAUCGAAGGACGCUCGCGGCCGAGCGUCGGCUAAGAUCAAAAUCUGUAAAACUAGUGCCAACAUAGCGAUGGAGGAGCAUGAAACACGAGGAGACAUGAUGAUACGUGAGACGAUUGAGAUGGACAAUCUAUGUUUAUAGAUUAUUUGGAACUUCGUGGAAGUGCUAUGGUUUGACUGUAUCUCUUGGAAGAGUCUCGGAGAACACUGGAGUGGAAGGUGGUUUUCUUUUUCAGCAUCCUCUCGGCAGUUGCCAGAUAUAUGAGAUGAUCCUCACGGAACUGUGCUGGAUCGAUCACUAAAUGUGCUGGAUCGAUCUCUUGGUCAGCCACAUGCUGGAUAAUGUCAUUGUAAAUUGUAAAAAUCUUAUAAUCUUUGGAUGGCGUUUAGUAGCGAGUCAAGCUCAUCAGACACGAUCGAGUCAAGGUCCUUAGACAAAAAUAAAUCGCUCAUCGCUCAUCAUCCUUUUUCUCCUGCAAGCGUGAAUUUGUUCAAAGGUUUGACAAUUCUCAAAUGGCUAUUGAUAUGCCACGCGAGAUGUUUGAUGAUGGUAACGUUCACCACCUAAUGGAAAGAAAUUAGCGUCAAACCAAUAAACAUGGGAUAUUAGGUCACAAGAGCCUGCAUAUUGCAAAUUAUUUAUAUGAACCCUAAUUUUUCCUUGGACAAUUUAGGUCAUUGCUCCACUUCUCGCUACCGACGCAGUGAUGGCAGCGAAAGAGGCCGGAUGGAUCGACCUUGCUCUUGAUGGCCUGGAGGCGAGGGUAGUGCUCGCCGAAGAAGGAUUGCUGCCAGUCCGGCUCGUUGAAAUCCGCCUCGUUGAUGUAAGUUCCUGAUCCAGGCGUCACAUCGAUGAGCAGCUUGUUCGCGGCGCUCACAUUCCUUGCAACCUCGCGCUGCUCCUCCAGGCUCGCCCCAUCUCUCCAGCCGCUGCCGAUAAUCACGAACAAAAGGGCUCGGCGCCAUGCCGGAUUCACGGCAUUCUCAUCUCGCGGCCUUGCCACUGCUCCGCCGGCCACGAAUGCGCCAAAGAUCGUCAACGGAGGCGGGUAGCGCUCCAGGAUCGAGACAAGGGCAUCUGAGAGCGGCUCCACGGAUUUGCGGCUGUGGAAGAGGGAUUUUGGGAUUAGCCUGGAGGAGAGAAGGAGGGGAGUGGCGGAGCCGUUGGAGUUGACGCAGGAAUUCUGGCCUCCACACAGGAAUUGCGAGUAAUACUCUUGGAACGAUGAAAGAGAGACCACGCUUCCAUUUCCUUGGAGCUUUGGAUGCUUCUCAACGUAGUCAAGGAAUGUUGCUAGCGUCCGGUUUGCGAAAGACACGUCCUUGUUGGGAAGAAGAUACGAGACCUGCAAGCUCUGGCUGGACAGUCCGAAGUAUCCCGACCAUCCAGCUUCCGAGAGACUGGGAUGGAUCACGGCAAAGUUUGUGAGCAAGUCCAGGAAGCUGGAUCUAUCUCUGGCAUUGAUGGAGUAGCCAGCGAAGGCGAGAUCUUCCAGCUGCGGAUGCGUCCGGUGUGUAGCAGAGACCACGACUCCAAAAGUUCCUCCUCCGCCCCCUCGAAGAGCCCAGAAGAGAUCCUCGUUUUGGCAGCCGUUAGCAACAACGAGAUCUCCAGCAGCAGUCACGACUUCAUACUCCAAGACAUUGUCCGCUGCGAGGCCGAAGGCUGGAGAGAUUGGACUGUGUCCAGCGGCCUGUGGAUAUCCACCGGCAGCUCCAACAGUAACACCCCCAGCCCCGACGAUCACUUUACCUUGCUUGAACACUGCCUGGUAGAGCUCCUCCCACUGGACUCCAGCUCCGACCGUCACUGCCGAUACCGGGGACACUGAGCAUCUCUUGGCGACAAAGUCGUGGUGGAAGCUUAUGUUCUUCAGGUGAUGCGUCCAGAUGCUGAGAGAUCCAGCCGCAGUGCUCUUUCCAAAGAAGUCGUGCCCGGUGUUCUUGAUCACUAGCCGGAUGUUCUUGGUGGAUGCAAACCUUACCGCAGAUUGGACGUGAGAUGGAGUGGAGACAUUCACGGCAUAGACUGGAACGGAGCCCUGAGAGCAGCUCGAGUUGCGAGGGGAGGAGAUGAGGCAGCUCUGGUCGCCGCUGGCUUCCCAGUUGCUGGCCUGCAUGGCUCCCGGCUGAUCCGACCUCCAGAAAGGUGAGCUCCAUCUCUCUCGUACAAUUUGGCAAGCUUGCUCAUCGAAGUUGCUCUCGUGACAGGGCGCCGCUGGAGGCAGGACUUUGAUGAGCCUUCCAUCGAGGGAGGAGUUGAAGGUGUCCCAGGCGCUGGGAUCUGGCCAGCAGCUGGAUUGAAAUGCGGUGCACAAACAAUCGUGAUCCAAGGACGACCGGGCAUCGGCAACGAGCAAAAU